rnacentral:rRNA from 1 species
AUGACAAUUAAUAAGAGCCAGGGACAGACCCUACCUGAUGUUGGUAUAUAUCUUAAGGGUCCUGUUUUUACGCACGGGCAGCUAUAUGUGGCAGUGUCUCGUGUUACUUCGAGGGCUUCUUUGAAAAUCCUUAUAUUAGAUGCUGAUGGCAAAUGCGGCUCUGAGACCAAGAACAUUGUUUUCCCUGAGGUCUUCCGGGCCGCAGGAAUGACCUAG